rnacentral:rRNA from 1 species
AGUAGCGGCGAGCGAACGGGGAGGAGCCCAGAACCAUCAUCAGUUUGUGUGUCAGUGGAAGCGUCUGGAAAGUCGCGCAACAAAGGGUGAUAGUCCCGUACACGAAGAUGCACAUGCUGUGAGUUCGAUGAGUAGGGCGGGACACGAGAUAUCCUGUCUGAAGAUGGGGGGACCAUCCUCCAAGGCUAAAUACUCCUGACUGACCGAUAGUGAACCAGUACCGUGAGGGAAAGGCGAAAAGAACCCCGGCGAGGGGAGUGAAACAGAACCUGAAACCGUGUACGUACAAGCAGUGGGAGCCUUGAUUUAUCA